rnacentral:rRNA from 1 species
UAGAGACUCAGAGCUGCAUAUCAAUAAGCGGAGGAAAAGAAACUAACAAGGAUUCCCUUAGUAACGGCGAGUGAAGCGGGAAGAGCUCAAAUUUGAAAUCUUCAAGGUUCUACCUUGACGAAUUGUAGUUUAUAGAAGUGUUUUUCUGUUAGUAGAGUGGCAAAAGUUCUUUGGAAUAGGACAUCAUAGAGGGUGAGAAUCCCGUAUUUGGUCAUUCCUUCUAGCGUUGUGAUACACUUUCAACGAGUCGGAUUGUUUGGGAAUGCAGUCCAAAAUGGGUGGUAAAUUUCAUCUAAAGCUAAAUAUUGGCGAGAGACCGAUAGCGAACAAGUACCGUGAGGGAAAGAUGAAAAGAACUUUGAAAAGAGAGUUAAACAGUACGUGAAAUUGUCAAAAGGGAAGCGUUUGACACCAGUGUUGUUUAGUUGAAAAUCAAUUAAAUAAUUUUUCGAUUUUAAGUAGUAUUGACCUUAUCAGCUUGCUGCUUUUUUCUCAGAAAUUAUUUAAUGCACUUUUCAGUUAACAAGUCAACAUCAAUUUCUUUUGUUGUAAAAAGGUAAGAGGAAGGUGGCUUGCGCUUCGGCUCAAGUGUUUAUAGCCUUUUACCCCUGCAAUCGGAGAGAUUGAGGUCUGCAGCGUAGAUCCUUCGGGGUUAGAUACAUUUGUGCUAAGCUAUAGCCUUGUAUAGACAACUUGUUGACUAUGCUCAGUCAUGUAGCUUACUCGCUUAUGCUAUUUUACCUACGCUUAGGAUGUUGA